UACGGAGGGGGCAAGCGUUAUUCGGAAUUAUUGGGCGUAAAGAGCUCGUAGGCGGUCUGUCACGUCGGCUGUGAAAACCCGAGGCUCAACCUCGGGCCUGCAGUCGAUACGGGCAAACUAGAGUACUGCAGGGGAGACUGGAAUUCCUGGUGUAGCGGUGAAAUGCGCAGAUAUCAGGAGGAACACCGAUGGCGAAGGCAGGUCUCUGGGUCGUACCUGACGCUGAGGCGCGAAAGCGUGGGGAGCGAACGGG
rnacentral:rRNA from 1 species